rfam:Lepisosteus oculatus linkage group LG2, whole genome shotgun sequence.
GCAUUGGUGGAUCAGUGGUAGAAUUCUCGCUUGCCACGCAGGAGGCCUGGGUUUGAUUCCUGGCCAAUGCA